UACGUAGGGUCCGAGCGUUGUCCGGAAUUAUUGGGCGUAAAGAGCUCGUAGGCGGCUUGUCACGUCGGGUGUGAAAGCCCGGGGCUUAACCCCGGGUCUGCAUUCGAUACGGGCUAGCUAGAGUGUGGUAGGGGAGAUCGGAAUUCCUGGUGUAGCGGUGAAAUGCGCAGAUAUCAGGAAGAACACCCGUGGCGAAGGCGGCUCUCUGGGACGGUACUGACGCUGAGACGCGAAAGCGUGGGGAGCGAACAGG
rnacentral:rRNA from 1 species